rnacentral:rRNA from 1 species
AGGGUUCGAUCCUGGCUCAGGAUGAACGCUGGCGGCGUGCUUAACACAUGCAAGUCGAACGAAGCGAUUUGACGGAAGUUUUCGGAUGGAAGCCAAAUCGACUGAGUGGCGGACGGGUGAGUAACGCGUGGGUAACCUGCCUCAUACAGGGGGAUAACAGUUAGAAAUGACUGCUAAUACCGCAUAAGCGCACGGAAGCGCAUGUUUCUGUGUGAAAAACUCCGGUGGUAUGAGAUGGACCUGCGUCUGAUUAGCUAGUUGGUGAGGUAACGGCCCACCAAGGCGACGAUCAGUAGCCGACCUGAGAGGGUGACCGGCCACAUUGGGACUGAGACACGGCCCAA